GCAGCUGGAGAUGCAGCAGGUGGGGCGGCAGCAGGAGGGCUGGCAGCACUGGGGCCUGCAGCAGCUGGAGAUGCAGCAGCUGGGGCGGCAGCAGGUGGUCCUGCAGCAGGUGGUCUGAAGGCAGCUGGGCUGGCAGCAGGUCUCCUGCUCAGAGCAGACAGAGCCACAGGAGCUGACCAUGGUGUCGGAGGGUGGAGGUUCUGGUUGGGUUUCCAAGAAGGUGGUUGUUUGGAGUUUGAUCUCCCCUUGCUCCCUCUUGCUUUUUAUACCCUGUUGCCGGCUACUGUGACCAUGUGAAGGAUCUUGUUUAUCCAGUAGAAAAUCAGUUAGUUUUAGUCAAU